UACAGAGGUCUCAAGCGUUGUUCGGAUUCAUUGGGCGUAAAGGGUGCGUAGGCGGCGCGGUAAGUCGGGUGUGAAAUCUCGGAGCUUAACUCCGAAACUGCAUUCGAUACUGCCGUGCUUGAGGACUGGAGAGGAGACUGGAAUUUACGGUGUAGCGGUGAAAUGCGUAGAUAUCGUAAGGAAGACCAGUGGCGAAGGCGGGGUCUCUGGACAGUUCCUGACACUGAGGCACGAAGGCCAGGGGAGCAAACGGGG
rnacentral:rRNA from 1 species